rnacentral:rRNA from 1 species
UACGAAGGGGGCUAGCGUUGUUCGGAUUUACUGGGCGUAAAGCGCGCGUAGGCGGACAUCUAAGUCAGGGGUGAAAUCCCAAGGCUCAACCUUGGAACUGCCUUUGAUACUGGACGUCUGGAGUUCGGGAGAGGUGAGUGGAAUUCCGAGUGUAGAGGUGAAAUUCGUAGAUAUUCGGAGGAACACCAGAAGCGAAGGCGGCUCACUGGCCCGAUACUGACGCUGAGGCGCGAAAGCGUGGGGAGCAAACAGG